rnacentral:rRNA from 1 species
UACAGAGGGUGCAAGCGUUAAUCGGAUUACUGGGCGUAAAGGGCGCGUAGGUGGUUGUUUAAGUGAGAUGUGAAAGCCCCGGGCUCAACCGUGGGAACUGCAUCUUAUACUGGGCAACUGGAGUACAUGGAGAGGGUAGUGGAAUUUCCGGUGUGAGCGGUGAAAUGCGUAGAUAUCGGAAGGAACACCAGUGGCGAAGGCGGCUACCUGGCAUGAUACUGACACUGAGGCGCGAGA